UACGGAGGGUGCGAGCGUUACCCGGAUUUACUGGGUGUAAAGGGCGUGUAGGCGGUCCCUCAAGUCCGAUGCUAAAGACCGAGGCUCAACCUCGGGAGUGCGUUGGAUACUGUGAGGCUAGACGGUCGGAGAGGGCAGCGGAAUUCUCGGAGUAGCGGUGAAAUGCGCAGAUACCGAGAGGAACGCCAAUAGCGAAGGCAGCUGCCGGGACGAUUUGUGACGUUGAGGCGCGAAAGCGUGGGGAGCAAACCGG
rnacentral:rRNA from 1 species